rnacentral:misc_RNA from 1 species
CAGAGAGUGUAAAAUUGCAGUAUCGUUCAUUGGAGAAAGUUUCAGAUGAUCCAUCCUCUAAGGCAACGUCGAGCAAGAUGCCCCCAAAUUGGCUCUAGUGCUGCUUUUACAAAAUGAGGCAGAAAUAUGUUGCCAAAAUGCGACAUUUCACACUUAAUCUAACUUGUAUUUUACAUCUUUCUAGCUUGUACUCUUUCUAUAUUGUAUUUCUUACAGGCAAAUAUAGGGAUAUGAUGGCCUUGUAAAUUACAGAAGCCCUGUUACAGUUGUAAUCUGAGGAACCCAGGAAUGUGAAAUGUCGCAUUUUGGCAACAUAUUUCUGCCUCAUUUUGUAAAAGCAGCACUAGAGCCAAUUUGGGGGCUAAUGUUUAUGCACACGUGAUUGUCAUGUAACCAUUCUUCUUUAUAAUAUUAUGAACAGCAC